rnacentral:misc_RNA from 1 species
GAUGAAGAACGUAGCGAAAUGCGAUAAGUAAUGUGAAUUGCAGAAUUCAGUGAAUCAUCGAAUCUUUGAACGCACAUUGCGCCCGCUAGUACUCUAGCGGGCAUGCCUGUUCGAGCGUCAUUUCAACCCUCAAGCCCUGCUUGGUGUUGGGGCCCUACGGCUGCCGUAGGCCCUGAAAGGAAGUGGCGGGCUCGCUACAACUCCGAGCGUAGUAAUUCAUUAUCUCGCUUAGGGUGUUGUGCGGUGCUCCAGCCGUUAAAGACCAUCUUUAACUCAAGGUUGACCUCGGAUCAGGUAGGAAUACCCGCUGAACUUAAGCAUAUCAAUAAGCGGUGGA